ensembl:lncRNA
GGAGCUGUUCUAUUCGAGUUGCUUUGUGCAGUCAGUGGCAUGAGACGUGAUGGUUUUUGCUGUGGGGUGAAGGGCUGUGUGAAUGCUGGAAACUCCAAAGUGGUGCUGGGCACAGGGACGCGCCUGGUUGUGAAGUCCAGUGAGUACAAGUUCUGUCCUGCUUGGUCAUUCUGCCGCAGAGGUCAGCACUUCCCAAGUCCCCCAGCAUUCCCUUUAUCGGCUCAGAGCAGGAAUGUUCUUGUCUCUGGCAGCCCCCUGAAUGCCCAUGGCCCUUCCUGACCUGAGCUCAGCUGGGCCCUCCUUUCCCAACUUAAAUUUGUCUUCCUCUAGUCGUGGAUCAGCACCUGGAUUGUCAGGAGAGCGCACCAUGGAAUGGGGACAGGUUCUGCCUCAGAAGAGCCAGGGUGAGCUUUUUGUUAGGGGAGGAAAUGCUGUGUGAUUAUAACUACAACAGCAAGCCGACCUUUGGCUCAGGGACCAGACUCUCUGUCCGACCCCAUAUUACUCCAUCUCCUUCAGUCUACAGGCUGACCUCUGAAGAUGACAAGAAUCUGGAAAUGUGCCUUAUCACGGAUUACUCCCCUGAAAAGCUUGAUCUUAGCUCAGUUGAUAGUAAGACAGAAACUGUUGUGGAGGUGGCAACAUCUGAGAACAAAUAUGAAGCGAGCUACCUGUCAACCUACUGGGCCAAGAAGGAUGAAAUGCACUGUGGUGCUGUGCACGAGGGAUUUGGAGAACUAGGAGAUGAUCCUGAAGCUGGUGCCAGCACUGUCUGCAUUACAGAGUUGCCGCUGCACUUCAAGACAGAUGAGAACCUGAACACGCUGACCUUCUCACAACUGGGCCUGAAAAUAAUUUUAAUGAAAGCAGUAAUUUUUAACGUGCUGGUGACGAUGCUUAUGUGGAAAAAAAAUGAAUGAAAGUAACCAGACAGUGCAGAUGUGAAGUACCAAAAAAAAUCUGUUGAAUCAUUAUUGGAGCAUUGGGUGCAAGAGGUUCUCCUACUGCAUACCUAUCCUGCAAUAGAUAUCAUUGUUUUUUCUGUAUAUCACACCAGCCAUUAUAGUCUAAAUUGCUUUGUGUGCAUUUUUAUAAAGCUACUCAGAAAUAUGUUACAAUUCUCAGCAUUCUGCUCAUUUAGUAUGGCAAUGCCUUUUUUGGUUUUGUUUUGGUUUUUUUGGAUGAAGCAAAGAUUGCUGUAACUGUGUAUUGUCAAACAUCUCUAUUACUUGCAUUAAAAUGACAUAAAAUUUCUGCCUGAAUUGAGUCACACUCUCAUUUCUCAAUUAUUCACCUCUCUAUCACAGAAGAAUGCUUUUAGCAAAAUUUUAAGGUCGAUGUGACAUUUCUUUAGGCCUAUUAAAUAACUGCUGCUGAUAAUAAGAAACUUGUUGUGUUUUUUUGUAACUCUCAUUGGAGGAGCUUGUUUUAUCUUUCACGUGAGCUUUAGGAUCCAGGUUAGCCUUUGGGAUGAAGGAGGUGCCAGGAAAGGCAGAACAAAAUUUAGCCACCAGGUACUGUGUGCAGCAGUCAGCUUGAUUCACUGUAGAGGGAAUGUCUACAGCUCUUUUUUAGGACAUCCACUUCCCUGCUGUGUUUGGGGGAGGAUAUCGUGACUGUCCCAGAGAGGGAGGAACAUCUCCAAGUCUAGGCUCUGUGCUAUGUGAAGACAGUGGUGAAACACAGCUUGCUAACAAUGAAUUAAAAAGCGAUCCAGGCACUUGAAAGAUAUUUACUGACAUAGGGAAUGCAGCAGUCUGUAGCAUCCCAUUCUAAAUAUCCACUGUUCCCUUAUUCUAUGCCCUGUAGAAUAAGGUGUCUGCCUUGCAUUACAGACAUCACUUGACUGGCCUGUCUCUUCAGGUUCAGGCUCUUGCUGACAAGAUUGAA